CGGGACACGUGAAAUCCUGUUUGAACAUAGGGGGACCACCCUCUAAGCCUAAGUACUCUCUAGUGACCGAUAGUGAACAAGUACCGUGAGGGAAAGGUGAAAAGAACCCUGAAUAAGGGAGUGAAAUAGAACCUGAAACCAUACGCUUACAAGCGGUCGGAGCUGACUUGAUAAGUGACGGCGUGCCUUUUGCAUAAUGAGCCUACGAGUUACUUUAACUAGCGAGGUUAAGGCCUUCAGGGCCGGAUCCGUAGCGAAAGCGAGUCUGAA
rnacentral:rRNA from 1 species